GACUGCUAUCGGAUGAUACUAAGCCAUGCGAGUCUUGCAGUAAUGCAAGGCAUACGGCUCAGUAACACGUAGUCAACCUACCCUAUGGACGAGAAUAAUCUCGGGAAACUGAGCAUAAUUCUUGAUAGAUCAUAAUGCCUGGAAUGGUUUAUGGUUAAAAUGAUUCGUCGCCAUAGGAUGGGACUGCGGCCUAUCAGCUUGUUGGUGAGGUAAUGGCCCACCAAGGCGAUUACAGGUACGGGCUCUGAGAGGAGAAGCCCGGAGAUGGGUACUGAGACACGGACCCAGGCCCUAUGGGGCGCAGCAGGCGAGAAAACUUUGCAAUGUGCGAAAGCACGACAAGGUUAAUCCGAGUGAUUUCUGCUAAAGAAAUCUUUUGCCAGUCAUAAAACCACUGGUGAAUAAGGGGUGGGCAAGUUCUGGUGUCAGCCGCCGCGGUAAAACCAGCACCUCAAGUGGUCAGGAUGAUUAUUGGGCCUAAAGCAUCCGUAGCCGGCUUUGUUAGUUUUCGGUUAAAUCCAUGUGCUCAACAUACAGGCCGCCGGGAAUACUGCAGGGCUAGGGAGUGGGAGAGGUAGACGGUACUCGGGAGGAAGUGGUAAAAUGCUUUGAUCUCUCGAUGACCACCUGUGGCGAAGGCGGUCUACCAGAACACGUCCGACGGUGAGGGAUGAAAGCUGGGGGAGCAAACCGGACUAGAUACCCGGGUAGUCCCAGCCGUAAACUAUGCAAACUCAGUGAUGCAUUGGCUUGUGGCCAAUGCAGUGUUGCAGGGAAGCCGUUAAGUUUGCCGCCUGGGAAGUACGUACGCAAGUAUGAAACUUAAAGGAAUUGGCGGGGGAGCACCACAAGGGUGAAGCCUGCGGUUCAAUUGGAUUCACCGCCGG
rnacentral:rRNA from 1 species